CUACGGGACGCUGCAGUGGGGAAUAUUGGACAAUGGGCGAAAGCCUGAUCCAGCAAUGCCGCGUGAGCGAUGAAGGCCUUAGGGUUGUAAAGCUCUUUUACCAGGGAUGAUAAUGACAGUACCUGGAGAAUAAGCUCCGGCUAACUCCGUGCCAGCAGCCGCGGUAAUACGGAGGGAGCUAGCGUUGUUCGGAAUUACUGGGCGUAAAGCGCGCGUAGGCGGCUCAUCAAGUCAGGGGUGAAAUCCCGGGGCUCAACCCCGGAACUGCCUUUGAAACUAGUGAGCUAGAAUCUUGGAGAGGUCAGUGGAAUUCCGAGUGUAGAGGCGAAAUUCGUAGAUAUUCGGAAGAACACCAGUGGCGAAGGCGACUGACUGGACAAGUAUUGACGCUGAGGUGCGAAAGCGUGGGGAGCAAACAGGAUUAGAUACCCUUGUAGUC
rnacentral:rRNA from 1 species